rnacentral:sRNA from 1 species
UGACUCAUCUAAAUCAAGGGAUGCAGGU